rnacentral:rRNA from 1 species
AGCUCCAAUAGCGUAUAUUAAAGUUGUUGCAGUUAAAACGCUCGUAGUUGAAGUUUUUAUCACUUUGCACUUACCGAAUCACUUCGGUGUGUGCGGGUGUACUCUGUCCACGGCUUCGACCGAGGUACAGUGUUACUUUGAGAAAAUUAGAGUGUUUCAAGCAGGUCUGUGCUAGAAUAUUAAAGCAUGGAAUAACAGUU